UCUCAGUGGAAGAUGAGGUAAUACUCCCUUGUCCAUUCACCAAGAACAACUCCUUCAUCUUGACCUUUUCCACCACUGUUCUGAGCUACGACAGUAAUAACUCUAAACAACAAAUUCAUGAUGAGUGGAAGGACAAAGUGAGCUUUUCACCUGAAGAUGGGACAGUCAAACUUCAUAAUCUGGAUAAAGAACGUAUGGGAAUCUACACGUGUAAGACAACUGCAGCCCAACAGAUAACCACUAAACAAAUAUCAGGGAAUGAGGUUACUUUCAAAUGUCCAGUUACCAAGGAUCAAAACUACAAUACCAACUUGGUCUUUGACACUACUGUACUGAUCUAUGACAGCAAGACCUUUGAAAAACAGAUUCUUGACCAAUGGACGAACAAGAUUACCUUUCCAUCAGAAGACAGUGGAGCUGUCAAACUCUCUUCUCUCAACCAAAAACAGCAUUCAGGAACAUACACCUGCGAGAGCACUACAGCCCAUAAUAGAUACAUUAUACACACCAAAGUAACACUAACAGGUGUGACAUCUCAUGCAACCUUGAGAUUGUCAUCCCUCUCCUUAUUUUUGUCAUUAUUAUGAUAAUUGGGAUUUAUUUUUUUGUCAAAAGAAGGAACAGGCCACAGCCAGAUACACCUAUUUCUCCGGAGGGAAACCCCCUUACCAGUGGAACACCACCAUCAUCUAAUGGUGUCUCAUAAGUAAGUCUUCAGAGUUACAGAGUGGACUGAAAUACAUCAUGUUCAUACUCUGCAGUAUGUGAAGAGUCUUGAGAUAUCAAGGAAUUCCAGGACCUAUUUUUGUAUUUAUAUUAAAUAAGAACAAUGAGAACUGGAGACAUAUAGGAGGACCACGGUUUCAUAGAACAAGCAGUGAGACUUUUGAAGUGCUACUGUCAUGUCCUUGUAGUCUCAAGCCUGUGUGCAUGAUUGUCUGUACUGACUGACUGAUCAAGUGUUGGAUUCUGUUCAGUUCAUUCCUUGAUUCACCAUACCUUCAAAUGGCACAGCAAGUUUGAAGCCUUGAGGUCUAAGGAUGUUUUUUUUUGUUCGUGUUUUAAGGACUUUCAUUUCCUCUUGACAUACCUCACUCUCUACCUUGGUGAAUAAACCAGAUUCACAACAUAUUCCUCGAAACUUCUAGAGCCUGUGAGAUUGUAAGCCUGAGACGUAAACCAGUUUGAGACCAUUCCACUAAAAAACAUUGCUUACAGUUCACGUCUUAAUAUGAACAAACACAUUGCAAUCAUAAUAAUUGAGUGUUUAUAAUCUCUAAGUAUGAAUUCUCUAAUUAUUGGGUUAUUCUUGUUUAGCACUGAACCUGCAGCUUUUGAGUAAGAGCACUGUUGAAAAAAACAGCAUGUGCUUAGGUAUUUUUUGAGGCUGGUUUGACAAGCUUAAACCAGCUAUGGACCAGCACAUUACCAGUUUAAACCAGCACAUCACCAUCAUAAACCAGCUUAAACCAGCAUAUGACCAGUUUAAACCGGCACAAACCAGCAAACCAGCAUAUGCUGUUUUUUUUCAACAGGGAAUGUCAUGAUUCUGCUCUUUUAUGUCAUGUUUCUCUUGAUCUAGUGGCAGGAUCAUGACAGAGCCUCGUGUUUUAUGUGGAGGGCAUUCCAUUACACUCUCUCCAGUCUCUCUUUGUCCCCGCCCCCUCGUUUCCUCAUUAUUGCAUGUUAUUAAUUUCAUGCCCUACGCCUGUUUCCUAUUGAUUUGAUCCCUUACUUAAUGCCCCUGUGUUCUCUGUCUUGUGCUGGUUCUUUCUUUCGUUUCACCUGGGUGAGUUCCUGUCUUGUCAGUGUAGACUAUUUUUUUCUAAACUAUGGUAAAUGUUAUCUUUAGUCCUCUGUAAUUUAGUUAGUCCAUGUUCCUGAAUCUAUGUCAUAGUUAUACCCUUGUUCUGGUUUAACCCCUUCGCGGAUUUUGUUUUGUAUUUAUUAUUUAUUAAAGUUUUGUGUUAUCCCCUUA